rnacentral:rRNA from 1 species
GCCCAGACUCCUACGGGAGGCAGCAGUGGGGAAUAUUGCACAAUGGGGGAAACCCUGAUGCAGCGACGCCGCGUGAGCGAUGAAGUAUUUCGGUAUGUAAAGCUCUAUCAGCAGGGAAGAAGAUGACGGUACCUGACUAAGAAGCCCCGGCUAACUACGUGCCAGCAGCCGCGGUAAUACGUAGGGGGCAAGCGUUAUCCGGAUUUACUGGGUGUAAAGGGAGCGUAGACGGCGAUGCAAGCCAGAUGUGAAAGCCCGGGGCUCAACCCCGGGACUGCAUUUGGAACUGUGUGGCUGGAGUGUCGGAGAGGCAGGCGGAAUUCCUAGUGUAGCGGUGAAAUGCGUAGAUAUUAGGAGGAACACCAGUGGCGAAGGCGGCCUGCUGGACGAUAACUGACGUUGAGGCUCGAAAGCGUGGGGAGCAAACAGGAUUAGAUACCCGCGUA